GACAGAGGGUGCAAACGUUGUUCGGAAUUACUGGGCGUAAAGCGCGUGUAGGCGGCCCUGCAAGUCGGAUGUGAAAUCCCACGGCUCAACCGUGGAAGUGCAUUCGAAACUGCAGGGCUAGAGUCCUGGAGAGGAAGGUGGAAUGCUUGGUGUAGAGGUGAAAUUCGUAGAUAUCAAGCGGAACACCGGUGGCGAAGGGCGGCCUU
rnacentral:rRNA from 1 species